rnacentral:lncRNA from 1 species
AUACAUGUUCCUUUGUUAUCAUACAUUCAAAUCCCAACAAUGAAUGCAAAUCAAUGUGCAUGGUAAGUUCUUUAUUAUCUUAAAAUUAAAAUUUGACAGGUUUCAAUUAUAAAAUAUUUGUGGUAAAUUAUUUAUUGUCUUAAAAUUAGAAUUUGACAGGUUUCAAUUAUAAAGAAUUUGUUGUAAGUUCUUUAUUGCCAUAAAUUAGAUUUUGACAAGUUUCAAUUAUAAAGCAUUUGUGGUAAGUUCUUAUUGCCAUAAAUUAGAAUUUGGCAGGUUUCAAUUAUAAAACAUUUGUGGUAAGUUUUUUAUUGCCUUAAAUUAGAUUUUAGCAGGUUUCAAUUAUAAAGCAUUUGUGGUAAGUUCUUUGUUGCCUUAAAUUAGAAUUUGGUAGAUUUCAAUUACAAAGCUUUUGUAGUAAGUUCUUUGUUGCCUUAAUUAAAAAUUUGUUGACAUUCUAAUUUAUCUUAAUAGCAUGAAAUAAAUACAAAUCAAUAUGCACUCCUAUUUUGAAAUUUACGUUACUCUCUCUCUCUCUCUACCCAAGGAUAUGCAAGUCUCUAUCUCCCACUCUUCAUUAUUUUUUUUUUAAAAAAAAUUAUAGAAAAAGGGUGGAAGAUAUUCCAAUUUAUUUUCAACAUGGGCCUCUAGCAAUUAUAUAUAUUAUGAUGAGAUAUAUAUUAGUUAUCAAUUUUAUUUAAAGAGAUACUUGAUUUGAAAAUUUUCAUGGUGAUCAAUGAUUAUGAAAUAUUUCAAGUUCAACAAUAUACGUAUAAUUUUUUUCUUACUUUCUACAAACAUUAAGAAUAUUUUGUUUAGAUUGAUAAUGUUGUUUAUUAUUUUUAACCAAGUUGUGACUUAUUUUUUGGUAUUUUUUUUGCUUAGUAUUCUUUCGUUUAUUUAGAAAACUAAAUUUGUACCUAUGAGGAUGUAAUGAUGUGCUAUUAUUUUUCAAUGAGAUGUAAUUAUCAUUGACAUCUUAUCAUGUUUUGUGUAUGUCCAAAUGACAUUAAAAUAUUUAAUGAUGUAUCAUGUUAGAUUGAAUUAUCAUAUUGGUUAUAGUUGUUCAUUAGAUAGUGGGAGUAAAUCAUCAUUUACCAAAUUAGAAUUGAAUUUGUUAGCUCUAUAAUUAUCAAUGCACAUUAAGAAAGUGAGAUCAAUUACUGAUCUAGCAUGCUGGAUUAUAUUGGAUUAAUUUUUGUUAUUAUGAUGACAACCACAUAUUGAGAAUAGUGGGAGCCAUUAUUGAAUAGUUUGAUACUAUCAUCGAUUUGAAACUUAUUGAACAUAUAAAAAAAAAUGAUAUUAUAUUUCUUUCUUUUAUUAUUGUUAAGGUUGAGACCAUUUAAGAUUUCUUUAUGUAUAUAAUAAUACUAACAACUUUGUCAAAUUAUUAUUAGUUUUUAUUAUUUUGACCUAUGAUCCGAAUCUGAGCUUUGGACUUUAAAACCAGUUGUGGACGACAUGUUUAAGAAAUAUGUAAAAGCAAUUGGCAAGUUUUUUCUUUCUCUUGAUUAAAAGAUACAUGUAAAUAAAAUUCAACGUAUUGUGAAUAAUUGUUAAGUUAUAUGAGAAAUCCCAUACAGGUAGUAUAAGGCAAUGCUAUAUACGAAACCAUUGAGGCCAAAAAAUCCAAAUGUAGUAUUUAAUCACAUUGGCAGGGUAUAUUAGAAAUCCAAAUUCCAUGCAGGUAGCAUAAAGCAAUGCCAUUUCCAAACCAUUGAGGCUAAGAAAUCCAAGUGUGGUGUUUGACCACAUUGGUGUAUAUAUGAAAUCCUAUGUAAGUAGGACGAGGCAAUGCCGUAUACAAGGUUAUUGAGGCCAGGAAAUGAAAUCUAAGUAUGGUGUAUGACCACUCUGGUAAGGUAUAUGACAAAUCUCAUGUAGGUAGCAUAAGGCAAUACCAUAUAUAAGGUUAUUGAGGCCAAGAAAUCUAAGUGUGGUGUACAAUCACAUUGGUAAGGUAUAAAAAAAUCCCAUAUAGCAUGAGGCAAUACUAUAUAGCUAAAAAAUCCAAGUGUGAUAUUUGACCACAUUGGUGGGGUAUAUGUGAAAUCCCAUGCAAAUAGCAUGAGGCAAUACCAUAUAUAAGGUUAAAUCCCAUGCAGGUAGCAUGAGGCAAUACCAUAUAUAAAACCAUUGAAGCCAAAAAAUCCAAGUGUUGUAUUUGACAACAUUGGCAUGAUAUAUAUGAAAUGCCAUGUGGAAAGCACGAAGCAAGAUUCAUUUGAAAAGUACAAGGCAAUGCCAUGUACAAGAUGUUAAAAGGCCUUUAAGCCAAGUGGGAGUUGUUGGAAAUGUAGCCUCUGCCACAAUCCCUUUAGUAGUCCAAUGAAGUGGUGGGAAUCUUUUUUUUUUUUGCUUUUAUGGGAGUGAGCUUAGUAAUAGAAGUUUCACUCAAAAAGGAACAUACCAUAUUCUUCUUCUCCAAUCUGUUAUAUAUAUAUAUAUAUAUAUAUAUAUAUAUAUAUAUAUAUAUAUAUAUAUAUACUACUAUUAUUAUUAGUAGUAGUACGUACGCAGCUAUAUACNNNNNNNNNNNNNNNNNNNNNNNNNNNNNNNNNNNNNNNNNNNNNNNNNNNNNNNNNNNNNNNNNNNNNNNNNNNNNNNNNNNNNNNNNNNNNNNNNNNNNNNNNNNNNNNNNNNNNNNNNNNNNNNNNNNNNNNNUAAGGUAGGUAGUAGUUAGUUAAGUUAAGUAAGUUACGUUACUAACUAAACGAAACGUAACUAACUACUACUUACUUCUUCUACUACUAUAUAUAUAUAUAUAUAUAUAUAUAUAUAUAUAUAUAUAUAUAUAUAUUACUACCAACUAUUUAAAUUUGAAGUUGGAACUGCAGCAUUGCAUCCUAUGCACCCACAUGUCCCCAAUGAUCCAUGUCUGCCGCCUAAGAGGUCUGUGGAAAAUUCUUUGAGGUCGGUAGAAACAAAAGCCACAAAAGUAGAAAAACAAUGAACAUUUGAACAUAAGAGGUCAAAUGAAUGAAAAAAAACAAUAAGAAAAUGAAAAAAAAGAAAGAGAAUUUUUUUUAUUAAGAACAAGCUCGAGAAACUACCAAAUUCAGGGUCCAAAUGGUUCACACGAUAAGAGUGUUUCAGGGUCUAAAUGGUUCACACCAUAAGAGUGUAGGUCGGUGCGUAUCAAAUAUGAUGGCAGACCUCGUGGGAUAACCAUCACGUAUCAAUCGCUCACUUCCAUUUUUCACAUUAAAGGCUAUGAUGUUCUUCUCUUCCUCGAAGAGAAGAGAGAUGAAAAAUGUAUCGCCAAACAAGAGAAGAGGACGCAUCAUUUUAAGUCUCGAACUUCUGUUUUCUAUGCGCUUCAUGCUCUGAAGGUCCACUUCUAUCAUCUGAAUCCAAUUUUUUUCUUCAUGUAAAACCCACAUUUUCAGCUUCAGUUCUCCAUUUAUAUGGGUAAAAGAUACCUGACCAUUCCAUAAUUGAACUUCAGAGCUCAAGCGAUUUAUAUUCUCCGGAGUGGAGAUUUCUUCCCGUGUUUCUCUCUCUACAUCAAAAGCCACCAGAGUAUCACCAAUGAGGAUAUAGAAGAUAGCGCCGAUACACACCAUUUUUACUGUACAUGGGGCAAUAAAAUCAGGUAUCUGAAUUGGUCUCCAUUUCCUAGCCACCGAGCAAAACAAGAGCGGUCUGUACCAACAGUACAUACCUUCGAAGAUCCCCAAAGCAAAGAUCUUGAAAUUUAGAGAGAUUGGGUCAAAAUAAAAACCCGUUGCCAUUGCUCCGAAGAUCUCGCCGUGUCUCAGAAGAAAGGUACAUCUCCCUGUUGCAGGGUUACCUACGAAAAAAUCCAGAGAAUCUGAUGCUUGGAAACAAACCAUGCCAUGGCUAAAAUUUAACGUCACCGGCCGACAAUGCGGCUGAAAAUUAAAUUUUUUGGGGGGUAGAAUCAAUUGGGUAGAGAGAGGGAGGGUUUUUUGCCCCACGUUCGGUUGGAGGAAAGUAAUAGAUGGUGCCAUCCUCACAGUUGAGAAACAGAGGAAAGGGAGGAGAAGAUGGGAGAUAAUGCAUUGCAGCGAAAGAUGAAGAGGAAAGAAGUUCAUUCCACGAUUUAGAAACAGUCUUGAAUCUGAGAAUACAUUCAAGAGGGAGCAAAGUGAGGAUUUUUAUCAUCAAAUCGUUUGGGAGAUCAGCCAUGUCUCAGAGUUCCCUGUCUCAACCCACCCACCCAAGAGAACCUCUGCGUAUCUCUCUGCUAUAUUGAGACGGACUAAAUGAUAAUCAUAGCAUCAAGCAACGAAUAAUGAAAAAAAGAAAAACUUAAAACGUCCUCAUCAUCUCGCCCCCUCUCUCGUCAAACUUGUUGGAAACCCUCGCCCUUCAAAACUUGUUGGAAAACCCAAAACCCUAAUUUUGAUUUGGAUGGGAUCUCUCUGCUAUAUUGAGAUAAACUAAGUUAGAUAAUCGUCGUCAUCAUCUUGCCCCCCUCUCCCUUCAAACUUGCUGGAAAACCCUAAUUUUGUUUUGGAUAAGAAAGUACAGAAAUAUGCGGGGUCUCAACGGACAGAAAAGCAAGGCGCGUCAACGGACAGAAAAGCAAGGCGCGCCCAAAAAACCUAAAAUUAUUAUCCCAAAAGAUUUGGUAAGGAGUAUACUAUCUAUUUACUCCUUCAAAUUACACUAGAGAAAGCACAUGCUUUGCAAGUUAUUUAUUUUGAUUUGGCAUGAUUUAUGCACAAAAGUUAAGUACAAAAGUUAAGGGCCAGGUUUGAUGUACAAAAAUUGCAAUAUUUUCAAAUUAUAAGAAAAAAGAUUGAGAUGGAACUGUUUGGAUAAUCCAUUAGAUUUUAUUGUCAACAAAAGCAGAUUAUGACGCAAAGUCAAAUUUGUUCCAAAAUGUGUAAAAAAAAUUUCAUUUAGACUCAAAUUUUUUUUCGCUUUCCUCUUAGGAUUUUUCCCUAAACCUUCUCACUCUGAGUCGCACUUAUAAAAGCCCCUUUUCCACUCUAAAGCAGGUCUCACAGCUCUUUUCCUUUAUCAUCUUCAACUAUACCGACUUUUUUCGCUUGUCUUUCUCCCAAACUUUCUAGCUCUAAGUGACACUUACAAUAGCCUCUCUCCCACUCUCAAAGCUCUUUUGACUAUGCAGAUCCCAUCUAGCGGUACUAGUUCGACUUUACCUUUCCAUCAUUACCCCUAAUUUCAUAUAGCUCUCUCUACCAUUUCUACUCUUAGAUUUCCUUCUCUUACUCUUAGAUUUCCUUCUCUUAUGCUCUCUAGAAAUUCAGGGUUCGAUAUCUCUAGGAACCGUGAUGUUUUUCUUUCUAACAUAGAGUUUCUCUAUCUAAAUUUAAUGAAUGGUUUUAUGAGUAUGGAGAGAGAGAUGUUUUACAAUCUCAAAACAUUUGCAAAUGAAGGUAUGUAAAUGACGUCUCACCUCUUUUGCCCAUCAUCAAGUUACUCUUUCUAAUAAUAAUAUUGAACUUGUACAUGCUCCUGCUUUCUAGGUUCUUUUCUUGUUCUUCUCAUUCUCUCUGUCUCCUACAUUUAUAGGAAUUUUUUAAGAGAAAUCAAUAUAAUUAAGUGUUGAAAUUGUGUAAAUUGGGUUUGAGAUUUUUUAUUUAUUUCUUUAAAAUUUCAUAUUUGGAGUUAUUUUUCUGCCAUUUUCGACUGUUCUAUAGAGAUCAAUAAUAUGCAAAAAAAAUAAAAAGAAAUUUUUUAAAAAGAAUUUAGAAAAAAUAAAGAAAAAAUAAAAAUUUAGAAUUUAUUGCAACGCAUCCAAACAACAUAUCUGGCAAAUAAAAUUUUCUUCUAAUAUUUUAAUAGACAUCCAAUGUUUCUCAAUUGAGGAGGAAAAAAAUUGUAUUUUUUUUCAUAGACAGCCAAAUUGGGCAUAAAAUACUGGCAAUAAAAUACAACUAUGUAACUUACUAAGAUUAGCUGAUGAAAGUGCUAAUAGUAUGCUCAUAUAUGCAAUUUAAUCAUAUAUAUAUAUAUAUAUAUAUAUAUGAGAUGAACUACCAUUACUUAAAUUGUAAUACUUGGAUUAAAAUUUUCUUAAUUUAUCCAUAUAGGCGUUAGGGCUUGACUAUGAAGUUUUGACUCAUAUAAUGUCAAAAGGCUAUUGAAAUUCAGUGAAAUUUUGGUAGUUACAAUUAAAUUUUUGGUGUUUAGCGCAUGAGGUGGUAUACCUUGCAUAAGAAGAUGUAAUGGUAGAUCAAAGAGCUCCAAUUAUCCGUUUUAGGAAGCUUCAAAUUUUUUUUUAUCAAUUUUAAAAAUUAAACAUCAAUUGUUUUAAGGUAAAUAUAAUACUAUAUUAAUUAAAAAUUUGAAAUAUAUAUUUAUUUUUAAAGAAGCUCUUUCUGAAUGUAGUAGGUGCUUUUAUAGUAAUUUUUAAAUAAAAUUUACAGUGUAUUUCUACAUUAUGAAGGAACUUAUUUUUAAGAGAAAAACUAAAAUUUUAUUAUUAACAAGAAGUUUUUAUUUUUAAAUCGUACGUGCAGUAUGUACCCACAUGUGUAGAAAAUCUGAGAAAUUGUUACAUGAAUAGAGCACAAAAGUUAUAGGUAACAUAAUAUAAUAUAAUAUUAAUCUAUGAAUUUAAAAUUUUCAUUCAAUAUAUUAUAUUUUUAAAGUUUACUCUCUCUUCUUCUCUCUAAAAGGCAGGAAUGUCUCCUACCACCUGUAAUGAAUUAGGUCUUAUUUUUGUAACAUGUGUCCACCCUUUAAUUCUUGCUUAAUAAUGUAGUGUAGUAUAGUAUAUAGAUAACUAUUAUUUUGGACUUUCUACUAUCAUGGUUACAUGCCCUUUGGCCUAAAAAAUGCAGGGGCAACUUAUCAAUGGGCAGUUGCUAGCAUCUUCCACGACUUAAUGCACACCAUCAUGGAAUACUACAUCGAUGACAUUUUGGUCAAGUCAAUGACCAGGUCCGAUCACCUCGCUAACCUGAUAACCAUUUUCGAAAGACUUUGAAAACAUCAACUCAAACUCAAUUCACAAAAACGAGCUUUUGGAGUUAAGUCCGGCAAAUUACUUGGAUUUAUAGUGAGCCAAAUGGGCAUUGAGGUGAACACUUCCAAAAUACGGGUCAUCACCGAAAUGGCCCAUCCCCGAAACAUCAGAGAAAUCUGUGGGCUUCAAGGUCGCAUACAAGCCAUAAGGCAUUUUAUCUCACAAUUGGCAGAUAAGUGCGCACCCUUCAAUAGGCUCCUUAAGAAAGAUACCCCAUUCAUAUGAGACAAUGAAUGUCAAGAGGUGUUUAAUCAAAGCAAGGAGUACCUAACCAAACCUCCUAUCCUUAGUCAUCUUAAUCCAGACAAACCCUUGUUCCUAUACAUAUCUGUGAAAGACAAAACCAUGGGGGCAAUAUUAGGAUAAUACGAUGACCAUAGAAAAGAACAAACUAUGUACUACAUCAGCAAAACCAUAGUCGACUAUGAGACGAGAUACGUAGCCGUGGAGAAACAUUGCUUAACGCUUGUGUGGGCUAUGCAAAACUUAAGAGAUUAUGUCUUAUCUCAUACAAUCAAGCUCAUCUAAAAAAUAGAUCCACUCACGUACCUAUUGGAGAGACCAGUCCUUAACAGACGUUUGGCAUAGUGGAGAAUGUUAUUGAACGACUUUGAGAUCGAAUAUGCCACUAAAAAAUCGGCCAAAGGACAGGCUAUUGCUGACCACUUAGUUGAACACGCAUUGCUAGAUAACACUCCCGUUAACAGGAUCUCCUUGAUGAGGACCUCUCCACAAGGACUCAACGUAGGAGCCAUACUUUGAUGGUGCAAAGAAUGAAUAUGGGUCAGGUGUAGGGGUUAUACUAUGCUCACCCAAAAAUAUUUUAAUACUAACAACCAUCAGACUGAAUUUCCCAUGUAUCAAUAAUAUUGCUGAAUAUGAAGCAUUGAUAGCCGAGCUUUAUAAUACCAUGGAACUUAAGAUCCAACAAAUACGAGUCAUUGGUGACUCCUUGCUCGUUAUAAACCAAGUUCAGGGGAUUUUUAAGGUUAAAGAAGAAAAACUCAAACCCUAUCAAGAAAAUGUGGAAAAGAUUAUAAAUAUUUUAAGCAAAUCUCUUUCCAACUUGUAACUAGGGAAACAAUCGGUUUGUCGACACCCUUGCAACCCUUGCUUCAAUGGUCAACAUCCCUUUAGAAGUCACAACACUGCCAUUUUACAUCAGGCACAAACAUAACACUUCCCCACCAAGGGUCAAAAAAGAAAUAGAGCAAGAAAAUGAGAACGAUGAGGAAGUGUCUUUCGUGGCCUCAGAUGCACUAGUCAAGGCAAAACCAUGGUUCCACGAUGUUUUGUCCUUGUUGAAAGAUAGGUUAUAUCCGGACGGAGCCACCAAAAAGGAAAAAGUAGCCCUCCGAAGGUUUUCUAUGGGUUUCUUAGUAAGAGAUGACUUUCUGUUCAAAAAAUCCUUUGAUGGCAUCAUCUUGUGGUGCCUUGAUCAGCCAGAAAUCGACCAAGUACUAAUAGAAUUACACAAUGAAUGAGGUCACUCCGAGGCAGCUACCUUGGCUCUAAAAAUCAGACGCCAAUGCUAUUAUUGGACCACCAUGGCCGAAGAAUGUUGAAAAUUUGUUAAGAGGUGUCUCAAAUGUCAGCUUUAUGGAGACCUCAUCCACGCACUGUCUGUACCACUUAACUCAACACUGCCCAUAUGGCCCUUUUCCAUGUAGGGUCUUGAUAUUAUCGGAAUAAUUUCAUCGAAAGCUUCUAAUGACCAUCGUUACAUACUAAUGGCUACAAAAUACUUCACAAAAUAGGUAGAGGCCGCAUCAUUUGUCAAAAUUGAAGGUCAACAUGUUGCCCAUUUAUUUUAUAAAGAAUAAUAUUUAGAUUUGGCAUUCUAGAAGCAAUCAUUGUUGACAAUAGAACCAACUUUAAAAAUGAAGGAGUCAUUAAGGUGUGCAAAAGGUUUGGGAUAACGCAGAAAUUAUCCUCGCCUUACUACCAUCAAGGAAAUGGACAAGCAGAGACCAAAAACAAAGGAUUGCUCAGAAUUAUAGAUAGAAUAAUAGAAUGUGGCAACGAUUAGCAUGAGAUGCGUUAUGGGCCUAUCGAAAAAAUGAGAAGACUCCUACUUGCAUGACCCCAUACCCAUUAGUGUAUGGUAUGGAGGUUGUGCGACCCAUUGAAGUUGAGAUACAAUCUCUUAGAGUGUUCAUUCAUAAUGAUUUAGAUGAGGAACAAAAGAUUGAAGCACAAAUCACUGCCCUCGAUACUUUGAAUAAAAGAUGACUAUGAACAACACAGAACAUCGUAGCUUACCAUCGUAGAAUCGAGAGGGCAUACCAAAGAAAAGUUGUUCCCCAACAAUUCAAAGAAGAAGACAUGGUGCUCAAGAAGAUAUUCCACACUCCUGCAAAUCCACACCCAUUAGGUAAAUUCAUAUCUAAAUUUGAGGGGCUAUUUGUGGUAACCCGAGUGCAUGUAGGCAAUUCCUAUAAAAUAAAAAAUUAGGAAGGGUAUGAACUCAAUGACCCCAUUAAUGCAAUGUAUCUCAUAAAAUAUUACCCAUGUGGAAAUAACUGUAAGGCUCGUCCCUCUUUGAAAAUAAUUUUUCAAAUAGACUGUUAAAAUCAUCUAUUUUAAAAAAUCUUCCCUUUCUAGAAAGGAUUUCCUCCAUCACUACAAGAGGUUAAACAGUUAGUCGAUCUAGCCUCGCUUUCGAAGCCAACUUCCUAUGUAUGUUAUCAAAGCUUGAAACUAGCUAGGCACUCCAUGGUUAUAUGAGUAUAAUUGUCAACUACCGCAUAUCGAAAAUGAGUGAACCUCGCCAAUGAUGACAUUGGCUAGUUUGGGAGCUUUUUCUCUCUCGACUAGAUCCUCUAAGGUAGAAAGAGGCGAACCCAUCACCGUAUAUGUGUAUGACGGUCUGAUAACAGAAAUUUUGGGACAAAAACCUUAUAACUAGGGGCUGAGUUUGUCGAAGUUCAGUCUGAAAAGUGUGUACAGAUAAAAUGUCCCUGUUUACCUCGAUAAAUCAAUUGCACACGUAAAGAUUAACAAAUAAAAUACCAUAUAACUGGGGCAAUGGAGCAAAAAAAUAAAAAAAAAAUCCCAAAACACGGGCAAAGGCGAAAAAGAAAAAAAAGAUUCCUUGGGUAAAACUACCCAUGUCGUACGAGUGACAGAGCCUGUGUCAGCCAACCAAAAAAAAAAAAACUACUAAAAAAAAAUUAUUUUUUUUGGGCAACACUACCAUUUCGCCCAACCAAAAAAAAUAAAAAAAAUUCUUGGGCGACACUACUUGGUCGCCUUGUCAAAAAAAAAAACUUUUCUUGGGCUACCCGUGUCGCCCAUCCAAAAAAACAAAUUUGGGGCGACACUGCCCUUGUCGCUCGGCCCCACCUUUUUCCUCUAAAAUAAAAUAAAUUUAAAAAUUGAAAAAAAUUGAGCGACACUACUAGUGUCGCCCAAAAUAUUUGGUCAAAAACUUCCCCCAAUCCAAUUCCAAAGCCUUUCGGGGAUAAAAUUUUGUUUUUUUGUCAUGCAAUUUUCUUACAAACAAGAUGGUUUUCAGACAUUUAAUUAAUUUUCAAACAUUUUUAGAUACGCCCUGGUGGCACGAGUUUAAACUGCCAACAAAAAUCACAAUUCAGGAAAACGUCUCGUGCGAUGUAAAAGAGUCGCGACUGGAAAACGUCAAAUUUGUGCGACGUAAAAGAGCUGAGACAGGAAAAUGUCAAACGCGUGUGACGUAAAAGAGCCGAGACAUAAUAAUGUCAAACUCAUGCGACAUAAAAGAGUCGAGACAGGAAAACAUCUAACCCUGUAAGGUCGGGUCUAUUCAAAAAAUGUCUAGCCUCGUAUGACAUAAAAAUUUAGGUGUAUCCAUCUAGCCCCGUAUGACGUAAAGGGUCAGGUGUAUCUGUCCAUCACUGCAAGACGUUAAACUGCAUAGAUGCCUCUAUGGUUGCAAGAGUUAAAACUGCUAACUAAAAUUUGUUUUUCAAAAUAUAUUUCUCUUUUCGAAAUGAUUCACUAUAUGUCUUGUGUUUUAAAAAACUUGAAUUUCUUUGUUAAAAUCGUGACCUGUCUAAAGCUCCAGGUUCUAUUUCAAAAUUCCCCCCUUGUUUUCAAAAUUUCUAAAAAGGCUUUUAAAAAUGAAAGAGCUUGGACACCCGUAUAUGAUGAUUACUACAUUGCCGCCUGAUCUCUCUCUUCAGAAUUGACUAGGCAAACCCUUUCCUAAAACAAGUAAAACCUAUAAAAGGCCUUAUGAAACCCUAAGGAAUCAUAGAAAAUGCUAGGUUUAAGAAUUUGAAAUUGUGAAAGCCCCUGAAGUUAAGGGGUAUGGCCAGAAAAUCCAACUCGAGUUUCAAACUUGUGUAACUAAUCGACAUCUCACGUCGAAAACUCUAGAAUGAAAAUGACUUAGGUGGGUGAGUGGGGAGCGCAAUGUCUUGGAGUGAUAGUUGGUGUGCCUUUUGACCAUGAAAUGUCAUGUUGAAAUUUAAAAUGCUUGCAUUAUCUUGCCCUUUGAAGGACAAGGAGCACUCUUUGCCACUCACCUGUCCCUCGAAGGACAGGGAGUUCCAAAGAGGGACAACUGUAGACACCCAUUUUAAAACUGGCAAAUUAUAUGAUAUUCCUGAACCCUUAGGACCACACUAUCUCUGUAAACUCCUAGACCAUAGACCGCCAUAGCCCAUACUGCAGAAUGCCCCGUUUUAGUAAAAAAAUCAUUAAAAAUACGAAAGCACCUCGUUUUGACGUAAAUUUUGGCAGGCAGCAACACAAGAGCCCGUAGAUCUCUCAAGAGCUAGAAUUUUGUAAUUUUGGGCAGAUUUGGUCUGAGUGUCCCUCGGGUGAUGCUCCUAGUGUCGCUCAGACCAAACUGACCCAAAUCAGUUGAUUUUUGGCAAGUAGCAUCUCGACGACCCCAAAAUCAGCCUAGAACUGGAAUUUUGUGAUUUUUGGCAGAUUUGGUGUGGGCGACACUCCCAGUGUCGCUGGGUGCGCUCCUAGUGUCUCUCGGGUGACACUCCCAAUGUCGCCCGGCCUAGACUGAUCCAAAUAGGCUGAAUUUUUGGCAGGUAGCAUUCUAAUAGCCCCAAAAUAAGCUUAGACAUGAAUCUACUGAUUUUUGGAAGAUUUGGUUUGGAUGUUGCCCAACCUAGACUGAUCCAAGUCGGCUGAUUUUUUGUAGGUAGCAUCACGACAGCCCCAAAAUCAGCCUAGACAAGAAUCUAUCGAUUUUGGGCAGAUUUGGUCUGGGUGACCUCCUAGUGUCGCCCAGCCUAGACUGACUUAUAUUGGUUGAGUUUUGGCAAGCAACAUCCUGAUAGCCCAAAAAUCACUUCAGACUGGAAUCUGUCGAUUUUGAGUAGAUUUGAGUAGAUUUGUCGCGACUCUAGUGGCGACACUACUAGUGUCGCCCAGACCCCACUGCCCCAAAUUGGCAGUUUCCACAUGCCAACGCCUCUCGAAUCAUUUUGGGUAAUGUUCAAUGAUCUUGGACCACUUUGGUUUGGGCGAUACAAUUAGUAUCGCCCAAGCCUUGGACCACUAGAACGACAAUCCAGGCUAGAAAAUCUUCUGGUUACGGUAUGUUACUCAUUUCAGACGAUUUUUAGCUUAUAAAAAUGUCAUUUUGGGAUCAUUAGACUUUUUAAACUCUUGAGACUUUUGAGACUCUUAAACUCUAAAGACCUUUUACACCUGAUUAGCUCUUGUGCCCAGAAAAACUUGGGGAUUAUGAGACUUGAAAAAAUCGUAGACCUAGGAAAACCCUAACUUUAGACCACUUGAAGCGCUUAGAUCAAGAAAUCCAUCCAACCAAGCCAUGUCUUGAUCAAAACUUGAAGAAAGACAAAGAAGACGCAUGACAUAAACUCAACCGGUUCUGAUAUCGACGAGGUCUCGAAGCCUCGAGAGUCCCGGGCCAACUGGCCCGAUCUGGUAUGUUUUUACUCUUUCUUGUAUUUAUUCUUAUUUUUGUUUAUUGUAUUAGAAUUAAAUUAGUUUUAUUACUUUUGACGUAGUAUUUCGUAUUUUGGAUCAAUGCUGGCUUUGCCACUGAUUUGAGAGCAAAUCUUCUCACUUCUGAGUAGAUCUGACCUCGGAUCAGAAUUUGAUUGUCCCACUCUCUAUCAUUCCUUUUUAAAAUUAGUUUGUGGUGUUCAGAUAUGAGGGAUCUUCCUUUGAAGAUCUCUUCGAUUUGCAUCAUAAACAUUACUAAUAACUACAAGAUUUGCUAGGUGUAGAUCAUAGGAUGGGGAUCAUGGAUUAUGGUGGUCUAUGGUUAGGAUCGACUGAAAUAGUGUGGUUUUAUAGGUAUAGGAAAACCAUGGAAUUUGCCACUUUUAAAAUGGACUCCCUAUCUUUCAAGAGACAGGUGGGUGGCAAACAAGUAGACACUGCAGACAUUUUAAUUUUAUCCUGACGUUUCAUGGUCAGAGGGCAUGUCAACUAUCCCUUCAAGACAUUGCACUCCCCGCUCACCCACCUAGGAUAUUUUCUUCCUAGGGUUUUUGGCAUGAGAUGUCGGUGAGUUACACUAGCUUGAAACUUGAGUUAGAUUUUCUGACCAUGCCACUUAACUUCAAGGGUUUUCACAAUUUCGAAUUCUUAAACCUGAUAUUUUCAUUGAUUCCCUUAGGGUUUCAUAAGGUCUUCUAUAUGUUUUACUUGUUUUAGGAAAAUUUUUGCCUGGUCAAUUCUGAAGGGAGAGAUGAGACGGCAAUGCGGUAAUCAUCAUAUAAAGGUACCCAAGUUCGUUUGUUUUUUAAAAAUUUUGAAAACAAGGGAGAAAUUUUGAAAUGGAACCCGAAGCUUUGGCAUGUCACGAUUUUAACAAAGAAAAUAAAGUUUUUUGAAAAUACAAGACAUAUAAUAAAAGUUUUGAAAUAAGAAAGGUGUUUGUGAAAAAUAAUAAUUUAAUUAGCAGUUUUAGCUCUUGCCACAAUGGAGCCCUCUAAGCAGUUUAACGUUAUGCCGCAAUGGACAGAUACACCUGACUCUUUACGUCAUACAGGGCUAGACGGAUACACCUGACCUUUUAUGUCAUAAGGGGCUAGACAUUUUCUGAAGACACUUGACUUUGCAGGGCUAGACGUUUUCUGAAUACACUCGACAUUUUACGUCCUACGGGGUGGUUAGACGGAUACACCUGACCUUUUACAUCAUACAAGCCUAGAUGUUUUCUGAAUACACCUGACUUUUUACGUCAUACAGGGCUGGACGAUUUUUUAAUACACCCAACUUUUUACGUCAUAUGGGGUUAGACAGAUACACCUGACCUUUUAUGUCAUUCGGGCUAGACGUUUUCUGAACUGGAUUUUUGCUGCCGGUUUAGGCUUGUGCCACUAAGGAGCAUUUUCUUUUUAUUUUUAUUUUUUAAAUUGGUUGGUAGUUUAGGUUCAUGCACCCGAGGAGCACUUUUGAACCUUUUUUUAUUUUUUUGGCUGGGCGACACAGGCUGUGUCUCUUGAGCGACAUGGAUAGUGUUGCCCAAAAAUUUUCUUUAUUUGUUUUUGCCUUUGUCCCGAUUUUGGGGAUUUUUUUUUUCUUUCUCCAUUGCUCCAGCUAUGGGGUGUUUUAUUUGCUAAUCUUUACAUGUGUAUCUGUUUUAACGAGGUAGAUAGGGACAUUUUAUUUGCACACACUUUUCAGAUUGAAUUUUGACAAACUCAUCCCCCUAGUUAUAGGGUUUUUGUCCCAAAACUCUAGUUAAUGGACCGCCAUACACACACACGAGGAUGGGUUUACCUCUUUUUGCCACUGGGAAUCUAGUUGAGAAAGAGAAGCUCCCAAACUAGCCAAUGUUAUCAUUGACGAGGUUCACCCAUCUCCGAUAUGUGGUAGUUGGCAGUUAUACUCAUACAACUAUGGAGUGCCUGGCUAGUUUCAAGCCUUCAUAACAGGCAUAGGAUUUGGCUUCGAGAGCGAAGCCAGAUCGACUAACAGUUUAUCCUCUUGUAGUGAUGGAGGAAGUCCUUUCUAGAAAGGGUUUUUUUUUUGUUGAAAAUGGAUGAUUUUAACAGUCAAUUUGAAUAACAUUUUCAAAUAGGAACGGGUGUUACAGUUUUUUCCACCUGUGGCCCCUUUGAUGGUCAGUAUCUUAAUUUAUUUUUUUAUUCAUUUAUUUAAAGAUGAUGAAAAGGAUUUCCAUGAUAGAUGAUGAGGUCCCAAGAGAUUUGACAUUUUCCCUUAGCCUUUGGAGCUUCCAUCCUGUGUUUUACAGAACCAUGAUGAGUUCUUUGGGUUCUUGCCAGGCUUCCUUCUUUUAGAGGUCUCGACAUUCUUCCCGGGAUUCAUUAAAGUAUUGGAUCUCCAAUUCAUGUUGCCUUCGCAUGUCUUCCUGAGGUUAGUUAUGUUGGGAAUUUGUAGGGAUUAGGAGGAGUCUCCAUCCUCAGGGUCUGCUUAUGCAGUAUUAUUGUGGCUUGCAAGCACUUAUUUAGUACUUGAGAUUUUGGAUUAGCGCCUCGUCUUUGGAGGUUUUUUUUUUCUUUUACCCAUGAUGCCUUUUCAAGUUUUCACCACGUCCAUUAUUUUCAUUCUUUUUUUUUUAUUAUUAUUUUUUAUUUUUUACCCGUGAUGCCUUUUUAGAUACAUUACAUUAAUGGGGUCAUUGAGUUCAUAUCCCUCUUGAUUUUUUUAUUUUAUAGGAAUUGUCUACAUGCACUCGGGAUACUACGAAUGACCCUUGUCAAUUAGGUUUGAAUUUGCCUAAUGGGUGAGGAUUUGCAGAAGUGUGGAAGAUCUUCUUGAAUACCAUGUCUCCUUCUCUGAAUUGUCGGGGAACAACUUUUCCAUGGUAUGCCCUCUCGAUUCUAUGAUAGUAAGCUAUGAUAUUUUGUGUUGCUCGCAAUCGUCUUUCAUCCAAAGUAUCGAGGGCAGCGACUCAUGCUUAGAUCUUUUGUUCCUCAUCUAAAUCUGUAUGAAUGAGCACUCAUAAAGAUGGUAUCUCGACUUCAAUGGGGAGCACAACCUCUAUACCAUAAACUAAUGAGUAUGGGGUCAUUCUAAUAUGAGUCUUUUCAAUUGUUCGAUAGGCCCAUAGAGCGUCGUUUAGUUUUUUGUGUCAAUCUUUACCACCUUCUAUUAUUCCGUCUAUAAUUCUUAGAAGUCCUUUGUUUGUGGCCUCUGCUUGUCCUGUUCCUUGAGGGUAGUAGGGUGUGGAGAAUUUCUACGUUAUCCCAAACUUUUUGCACAUCUUAAGGACUCUUUCAUUUUUGAAGUUGGUUCCGUUGUCAGUAAUGAUUGAUUUGGGAACGCCAAAAUCUGAAUACAAUGUUGUUCUUUAUGAAACGGGUAACAUGUUGACCUUCAAUUUUGACAAAUGAUGAGGCAUUUACCUAUUUUGUGAAGUAUUUUGUAGUUGUUAGUAUGUAACGAUAGUCAUUCGAGGCUUUUGGUGAAAUCAUUCUGAUAAUAUCAAGACCCCACAUGGCAACAGGCCAUGCGGGCGGUGUUGAGUUAAGUGGUACUGAUGGUGCAUGGAUGAGCUCUCCAUAAAAAUGAUAUUUAGGACACCUCUUAAACAAUUUCUAACAAUCUUCGGCCAUGGUGGUCCAAUAAUAACCUUGACACCUGUUUUUUUGGGCUAAGGCAACUGCCCCAAAAUGACCUCCUUCAUUGUGUAAUUCUGUUAAUACUUGGUCGAUUUCUGGAUGGUCGAGACACCGCAAGAUGAUGCCUUCAAAGGAUUUCUUGAACAUAAGGUCAUCUCUUAUUAAGAAACCCAUAGAAAACCUUCGAAUGGCUUCCUUAUCCUUUUUGGUGGCUCUGUCAGGGUAUGACCCAUCUUUCAAUAAGGACAACACAUCGUGGAACCGUGGUUUCGCUUUGACUAGCACAUCAGAGGCCACGAAAGACACUUCCUCAUCAUUUUCAUUUUCUUCCUCUAUUUCUUUUUUGAUCAUUAGUGGGGAAGGGUCAUGCUUGCGCUUGAUGUAAAAUGGCAAAGUGGUGACUUCUAAAGCAAUGUCGACCAUCGAAUCAAGGGUUGCAAGGGUGUCGGUGAACCAAUUAGUUUCCCUAGUUACGUGCUGGAAAGUGAUCUGCUUAAAAUAUUUUAUCAUCUUUUCCACCUUUUCUGGAUAGAUUUUUAAUUUUUCUUCUUUGGCCUUCCAAAUCCUUUGAACUUGGUUUAUAACGAGCCAUGAGUCACCAAUGACUCGUAUUUUUUGGUUCUUCAGUUUCAUGACCUUCUCUAGUCUGACUAUCAAGGCUUCAUAUUUAGUAAUGUUAUUGGUACAUGAGAAAUUCAAUCUGAUGGCUGUUGGCAUUAAAAUCUUCUUGGGUCAGCAUACUAUAACCUCUGUACUUGACUCAUAUUCAUUCUUUGCACCGUCAAAGUAUAGCUCCCAAGUUGAGUCCUCAAUUGUGAAGAGGUCCUCAUCAAGGAGAUUCGUGUUAACGGAAGUGUUAUCGAACAGUGCGUGUUCAGCUAAGUGGUCAGUAGUGGCUUGUCAUUUAAUCGAUUUUUGAGUGACAUAUUUGAUCUCAAAGUCGCUUAAUAACAUUCUCCACUUUACCAAAUGUCUGUUAAGGGGUGGUCUCUCCAAUAGGUACGUGAGUGGGUCUAUUUUUUAGAUAAGCUUAAUUGUAUGAGAUGAGACAUAGUAUCUUAAUUUCUGCAUAGCCCACACAAGCGAAAAAGCAAUGCUUCUCCACUUCUUUGCAUCUCAUCUCAUAAUCGACCAUGGUUUUGCUGAUGUAGUACAUAAUUUGUUCUUUUCCAUGCUCAUCAUAUUGUCCUAACAUUGCCCCAAUGGUUUUGUCUUUCAUAGAUAUGUAUCGGAAUAUGGGUUUAUCUGGAUUAGGAGGACUAAGGACAUGAGGUUUGGUUAUGUAAUCAUUGAUUUGGUCAAAAAAAAUUUGACACUCAUUGUCCCAUAUAAAUGGGGUAUAUUUCUUAAGGAGCCAAUUGAAGGGUGCGUACUUGUCUGCUAGUUGUGAGAUAAAACGCUUUAUGGCUUGUAUGCGACCUUGAAGCCCACAGAUUUAUCUGAUGUUCUAGGGAUGGGGCAUUUCGGUGAUGGCCUGUAUUUUGGAGGGGUCCAUCUUGAUGCCCCUUUAGCUUACUAUAAAGCCAAGUAAUUUUCAGGAUUCAACUCCAAAAGUACAUUUUUGUGUAUUGAGUUUGAGUUGAUGUUUAUGGAGUCUUUCGAAAAUGGUUAUCAGGUUAGUGAGGUGAUCGGACCUAGCCUUUGACUUGAUUAGGAUGUCAUCAACAUAGUCUUCCAUGAUGGUGUGUAUUAAGUCGUGGAAGAUGCUAGUCAUUGCCUGUUGAUAAGUUGCCCCUACAUUUUUGAGGUCAAAGGGCAUGACACGGUAGCAGUAGGUUCCCCAUUGCAUUAUGAAUGAUGUUUUGGUCUGGUCCUCUUCUAUCAUAAGGAUCUGGUUAUAACCCGAGCAUCCGUCCAUGAAGGACAACAUCUUGUGCCCCGCAGUGUUGUCGACCAUGGCAUUUAUGUUUGAUAAUGGGAAAUUAUCUUUGGGACAUGCCUUGUUGAGGUCUCUAUAGUCGACACACUCGGAGCCUCCCAUCUUUCUUGGGUACAUCCACUAUAUUGGCCAACCAUUCUUAGUAAUCGAUAGGGGUGAUGAAAUUUGCCUUGAGUGGUUUAUCGAUUUCUUUUUUGAUUUUGAGCUCAAGGUGAGUCUUUUGACGUCGGAGUUUCUACCUUACCGACCUUGCCCCUUUGUUCAAUACUAGGUGAUGUUGUACCAAUGUGAGAUCCAACCUUGACAUAUCUUCGUAUGACCAGGCGAAGACAUCACGAUAUUCCUUGAAAAAAGAAAUCAUGUUUUUUCGCUCCUCACAAGAUAGAGAGGCUUCAAUCUUGGUUAACCUUGGAUCCUUCUCAGUUCCUAGGUUGACGUUGAUUGUCCCUUUGGUGGUAGCCCUUGGGUCACCAUCAAAUCUCUUCUUGAACUGCUCAACGUAGGAAGUGAGAUCUUCAGGUUGAGGGAUUUCUUCGGACUCUUGGUUCUCUUGAUCUUCAUCUAGGUUAUUUGAUUCAUCAUCUUGGGUGUUUUGCACUGUUAAUGGGCUAUUUUGAGUGUUUACCAUUUUUUAAAAUUCUUUUUCCUGAUUAUCAUUUUUAUCAUGUUCUGAAUUUUCAUAGGUUUUUGAAAUGUCUCAAGAGGUGUCCCUUAUGAGACUCGCAAGGGAUAGGGGUCGGACGUGCGAGGUGGUUACCCUACUCCUAUUUGUUUUUUGGAACCGAGACUUGAAUGUGCCACUUAUAUGCUUUCAGCGAUUCUCGAGAUAGGGGCGUGAUUGACCAAUUCUGUUCCUAGGUUCGAAUAGGCGAAUUAGCACGAUUGGCUCUGUUAGAGACAUUUGUGUAUACUUUUAAGUCCAGGUCAGCAAAAAACUCGUCAAUUCCCAGUUCUUAGGUGUACUGAGGUACGGGAGGAUGAUGUAGGGAGAAAAUAAAGCCAGAGAAAUAACAAUAAAAAAAGAACAAAAGGUUGAGAGAAUAUACCAUCUCUCAAGGUCUGCAAGGGAAUUCACCCCAAAAUAAUCUCUUCACGAGUCCAAAUUUUAUUAACCCAUUCACUACUUUUACAAUGAAGGGAAACAUACCUUUAAAUAAACUAAAAAAAGAAAAGAAGAUAAGCAACUGACUUUCCUAUUUUAUCUCCCUUACCUAUUUUCUCUCAUUCCUAUCUUCUCUCUCUUAAAUUCACGUGCCACUCACAUGUUACCCAUUGUUGAAAAGAUAAACCCCCACGUUUUACCCAAAGCUAUUGUUAAAAAGAUAAACCCCUUUAGAUCUAACCUUAUCCUAUUUAUACUCAUAAACUAACCAUAUUUAACCUUAUCCUAUUUAAUUCCUAAAUUUAACCUUAUUCUAUUUACAUUCCUAAACUAACUAACCCAAUCCAUAAAUAUCAACUCACACACAAACUUCAUGCCCACCUAUCCCUGCGCACCUCCUAAUUUGAAAGAUAAAAUAAAAAAACAAUAAUAAUAAAUUUGUAAUUUGAAUUUUGAAUUUCUUUUUUUUCGCUGCAUCGUUCUCCCAGGGUUGGGAGAAGCUCGACCUCGAGCUUAUCGAACUCAAAUCUUUUAGGAGAGCUUAUCUCAAAUUCAUACAAUUCUAGCUCUGAUAACAAUUGAUACAGGGAGAAAAUAAAACCAUAGAAAUAAUAAUAAAAAAAGAAUAAAAGGUUGAGAGAAUAUACCCUCUCUCAAGGUCUGCAAGAGAAUACACGCCAAAAUGAUCUUUUCAAGAGACCAAAUUUUAUUAACUCAUUCACUACUUUUACAAUGAAGGGAAACAUCCCUUUAAAUAGACUAAAAAAAGAAACAAAGAUAAACAAUUGACUUUCAUAUUUUAUCUCCCUCAACCUAUUUUAUCUCAUCCCUAUCUUCUCUCUCUUAAAUUCAUGUGCCACCUACGUUUUACCCAUUGUUGAAAAGAUGAACCCCCAUAUUUUACCCAAAGCUAUUGUUGAAAAGAUAAACCCCCCUAGAUCUAACCUUAUCCUAUUUAUACUCCUAAACUAACUAUAUUUAUCCUUAUCCUAUUUAAUUCCUAAAUAUAACCUUAUCCUAUUUACAUUCCGAAACUAACUCCAUGCCCACCUAUCCCUGCGCACCUCCUAAUUUAAAAGAUAAAAUUAAAAAAAUAAAAAUAAAAUUGUAAUUUGAAUUUUGAAUUUCUUUUUUUUUCCUUGCAUCGAAGGAGAUUAUAAUUUGAAUUUUGAAUUUCAUUUUUUUCAUUGCAUCGGAGGAGAUUGUAAUUUGAAUUUUGAAUUUCUUUUUUUUCAUUGCAUCGGAGGAGAAUUUUCCACCAUUGGGGAAUUAAGGAUCACCUUUAUCCGUUUCGAUGGACGGGCAUCGAGAGGGUCGAGGCUUUGAAUGCCUCUAAAUGCAAAACUCAGAUGGCUUGAAGGCUUCAUUCGGCUUUGACAUAAGGUGAAAGAACACUCGAGUCCUCUUCGAUCCUCGUUUUUGGUUUUGACUUGGGGUGUUUCAGAGAUCGCCUUCGUUAUGCCUUGCCCUUGACUUCUCAAGACUUGGCAUGGUUGGAGCCUUAGGAGAAGAGCAUGUGCCAAGCCUCGAGAGAUCCCAAACUGUAUCGAUGUUGACAUUGGAUGAUGUCUUCCAUCAAUGUGGAAGUUCACAGAAUUUGAGGAAUAGGGUCGCUGGCCUCUAGUCGCAAGUUGGCACAAUUAGCUUGCUUGAAGGAAAUGAGCAGGAUUUCUCCAAGUUCGACCUUACGGCUAGCUUCCCGUUAUCUACACUAAGGUUCGGAAGAGAAGAGAGUUCAACACAUACCUUGGCGAUGCAGUUCUUGGUUGGAAAUUUGAACUGAUGGAGUGUAGAGGCCACCAUGAGAUUCUCAUGCAGCCACGACUUUCCUAGCAGCACAUUGAAUGAGAGUUUUAUGUCUAAGACAUAAAAAUUAUCACUUGGAUAACAGAGCUGAUCUUGAAAGUGAGAGGCAAUAUGCCUUCAGUUUGUCUCUUGAUCCCAUCAUAUGCAGCGAUAUUGAGCUGACACGACUCGAAAUCAUCCAGGUUCUUGCCUAUCUGCUUCACCGUUUUCAUAGAACAUAUGUUUAAGGAUGCCAUGUUGUCAACGAGUACCCUUCGUAUCUCAUACCCUUGCAUGAAAACAGUGAUGUGCAAUGGUUGGACGUGAAAGCGGUUGAAGCUGAUUGGGAUGUCUUCAUCUAUGAAUACGGUCGGCGUUGGAGCCAUCAGCUGGUUGAUCAUUCCGCAUAACUCAUCCGGUUGUAUGUUGCUCGGGAUGUGCGUCUUGACAAGGACUUUCUCAAUCUGGGCCCUAUGUACCGAUGAGUUAUUAAGCAGCUGCAAGAUGAAGAUCUGAGCUUAAAUCUUACUAAGGUGAGUCGAUCAAUCAUAGGCUGUUGCGGAUCUUUGGGAUUAUUCCUGUGGUUCAUGAUUUACGAUUCAUGCUGCUUGUUUAGACUUGAAAGUAUUUCCCAUUCUUUCUUCGAGGGUAUUGGCCAUCAAUUGGAUGGGUUUGAAGAUUCGUCCUCCUCGGGUUAAGGAAUCGACCUCGCCAACUUGAAGCUUGGUAGGGGUUGCCUUAGUAAGUGUAAUGGAAAACUUUGGGGCGUUGACCCCCUGAUUGGAGGAUGAUCCCUUCUCGUUGAUCCGGACCAUAUUGAUUUCUAACAUAUCAUCCUCAUCAUGUUGGUCCCACUUAAGUGGGUCUUUGAGGUUUUGAGAUGAAGGAUUCCCUUUUAGAAGACCCAAUAGGUCUUCUUGGGGUUCUUGGAGGUGGUGACCACAAGGGAAUAUAAAUUGAGUCGGCUCUUCUUCUUCAUUUCCAUUCUCGAUCAUGUGAAUGACAACGUUUCCUUUCGGGUUGUCCUGGGCUUACCGUCUUCUAGCGAUUGCGACGUAUUUUCAGGAAAAGUAUUUGUGAAGAUACCCAUCUUUUGAUUAGGCUCUUCAACAUGUCGUUUUUCGGUGGGACAGUGAUGUCCCCCAUAUCGAUCAACCCUUGAAUAACCCAUUUCAAAUGAUAGCAAAGUGCAUGAUUUUGGUGUCAUUUGCACCAUUUGCUCUUAUCCAUGACUUGGAAUAGUGGUCGGAUGGUGCUGGGAGUAAACCAUAUCUUUAGACAUAAAUAAUUCCAGUACUUUUUCUAAUGGGUCUUUAAGAUGAGUAAAAUUAUCCUCUCGCCUUUUGUUGUUAUUUUGAGCAUUGACUCUAUGCCGACCCCUCUGUUUUUGGUUUUGAUAGUUAUGCUGGGCAGCUAAACCUUGAGCUGGCCCGUUAAUGACAAUUUCAUUAAUCUGACAGGAAGUAUGCCCCUUGUUGUUGUUAUUUAUCUUACUUUGGGGAAUGGUUAUAAGUUUGUUCUCGGGCAUCAUACUGAGGUAAAAUUAUCCUCUCGCCUUUGGUUGUUAUUUUGAGCAUUGACUCUAUGCUGACCACUCUGAUUUUGGUUCUGAUAGUUAUGCUGAGCAGCUGAACCUUGAGCCGGCCCGUUAAUGACAAUUUCAUUAAUCUGAAAGGAAGUAUGCCCCUUGUUGUUGUUAUUUAUCUUACUUUGGGGAAUGGUUAUAGGUUUGUUCUCGGGCAUGGUACUGAGGGGUGCUCCUCUGGCCCUUUCGUGACAUGCCACCAGCUCAAUCAUGGAGUCAAAAGAGUACGGGAAGAAGUACCUAUAUUCAGGAACAACAUAUUCCAGGGCCAUAGGGAUCUUGGCCCGGUCCGUAAGUGGACAUUCGAUGACCCGCAUUGCUGCCUCGCAGAAUCGAUUGAUGAAGUCCUCAAAGGAUUCUCCUGGGUUUUGCUUUGUUGCGCUGAGUUCACCCAGGGAGAGAGGUCUUGGUGUCUAUCCACAGUAGUGAGAGACGAAUAGAUUGAACAUUUUAUCUGGAGUGAUGUGCGGUUGAGUACACAUCAUCUUUCGAUGCCAGUUCAAAUCCUUACCGGACAAUAUUUGAGAAAAUAUGGCCUUCAAUUGAUUUGGCCUAUCUCGCAAGCUCGAACGGAGAGGAGAUAUGCGUUAACGUGGGUAUCUGGAUCACUCUUCUAGUUGAACUUGUUUCAUAAUUCUGGGAUGACGAAUUCGAAGGGAAGGUCCUCCAUGCGUCCGAGGGUCUCAUGAACAUAGACUUUCGGGGGUAAAACUUUGUGAAUGCCCAUUCUUACAAGCAUUUAUUGCAUUUCUUUCAUGGUGCCUUCGUAUUAGGCAUUCGACAUGACCGUAGGCCCAUUGGUUGGUGGGUUCCCAAGUGUAGACUGAUGAGUCAAGGCUUGGGGUGUGUAUUAGCCCGUAUGGAUCUAAGGUUGAUGAGCCGCAGUCACCAGGGCGGUUUGGUAUACCUGGGCCUGAGGGAUGUAUUAUCCCAUAGGUGUUACCACAGGUUGCAGAAAUUGCACGGUCUGUUGGACCGAAUGGAUUACUGGGACCGAUUGAAGAAUCGUUUGACUAGGUUGUCCUAUGGCACUAAGUUGGUUAGGGACCGACACAUGUGCUGGGGCGUGAACAGUGUAGCUUCGGUCAACUAAACUUUGGAGGGCAGCUUGGACACCUACAUCACUUAGGGGUCGAUUCAAAUCCUUACAUCUGUUUCGCGUGACAUUAAGGUUAUCAUGACCUGUGUUGUAGAGGCUUGAGGCCGGGUCAGAUCCCCUAAACCUAGUGGGCCUUGGUUUAGAGACUUUCGUACCUCAGGGUUAUCUUGGUUCAAGGUAUGUGAAUGAGUAUUUGACACUGCGACUCCUACUUUUGUUACUUAAGAGCCCUCGCAGGACGACCCCAAGUCGAACCCCUUGACUAUUCAAGGUCCUUAGGGUGGAGCUAGUUUUUCAGGCCACAUAGAUCUCAAGAUUAGGAGUUGAUCCUUGAGACUUUACCUUUAAUUGAAGACUUGGGCAUCAAAAAAUGGACAUACCCAGGUUCUGACCAUAAUCAUGGGAUUGCGACAUACUAGUCUCUAGGUUUCGAAAGAUUAGGUUUGGCUGUAGAAUAAUCAUCAUGUUCACCUUGGGUGACCGACAUGGUGACUCUCUUUGACCCGUUUCUUGAAUCUAGACUUAGUGAGAGAUCUAGAAUCGAUGGCUUAAGAUAGAACCUAAUCUGGUUCUAGAGGUGAAAACCCUAAACUAAGACCUAGGCUAGGACUAAACCAGAUGAAUCUCGCAAGACUCGAUGGGUUUUGGUUAUGACCCUGAAUUAGGAUUAGUUCAGUCUUGCUCUAGAGAUAACUCUAUACUAAGCCUUAGGCUAAGAGUUAGGCUGAGAUCUAGACUAGAUGGGUACGAGUAUUGGCUCGGACCGCGAGGGGCUUUAGGUUCGGACCUGGGUGUGAACCUGGUUCGGACUUAGACUGAGCUGGGUACAAGCAUGGCCUUGGACCUAGAUGUUUUUGAAUAUCAGAUCGGGUGUUGACCUGGACUAGAUCAAGGUUGGGUUAGGUAUGAGCCUUGGCUCAGAUCAAAAGUGGGCCUAGGUUAGGACCUAGGUGUGAACUUGGUUCGGACCUGAACUAGGCUGGGCACAUGCCUUGACUUGGACCCAGAAGGUUUCAAAUUUAGACCAAGUGUGGACCCGGACUAAGGUCUAGGUGAGAUUUGGCGUGAGCCUUGGCUCAGCCAAAAAGGGGGCCAAAGUUCUGACCUGUGUGUGACCCUGGUUCAAACUUGGGCUAGACCUGGUACAUGCCUAGACUUGGGCUCAUAAGGUUUUAGCUCGGACCAGAAGCGGAUCCAAACUAAGAUCUAAGACUAAUCAAUCAUAAUAAGCAAACAAAACAUUCGAAAACUUGUUUUCCUAGACUAUGGGUAGGCUCGGUUUGAGUAGGUUUCUAAUUAUUGAAAUGCGGCUAGGCUGAGUAGGCCCCCACGUAGGUCUUGGUCACCUGUCAAGGGAAUCAACCAAGUCCUACUGUCCUACUAUGUCUGGAGUGUCUUUGAGGCUAAGGAUUAUAGUGGGGCACUCACAGUUAAAGUUACGCAAUCCCAACCGCCUCGGCUCUCAAUGCUAGGUUUCCCUCACGAUAGUUAGUAUCGAAUUUUGGGGGUUUUCAAAAAAAUUUGUUGGUUUCCCGGGCUUCCCAGGUCCGUUGUGUGCAAGAGUGUGUAAAGAAGCAUGCAAGUGAAAAGAAAAGAACAAAUAGGCAAACACCAAGUUGAAGAAAUAACGUGAGGCUCGGUACAAAUCUUGUCAAGCGAUGUGUGCUUCGAGGCGGAACUCACUCGAUACCACAAUAAAGAUGGAGGGUUAAGAAACCCCUGAGAAAGUGUUCAGUCAAAACAGUGAAACCAAGCAUAGUUUGUGCCUAGUCUGGGUGACUCGAUCAGGUCACAAUUAGAGAGAGUGAGAGUGCAGGUGACCCUGGCAAAGAAAUGAAAGUAGAUUUUUUCUUUGUUUACAAAGGUUUUUUUUUUUUUCAAAAGAGGGAGAGGCUUGAGAGGUGAGUUUUUUUAAAGUGAAUAUUUAUUGUUUUUAUUAUUAUUAUUAUUAUUAGAAAAUGAAGUGGCUUUAAAAAGCCAAACUUUUGUAGUAAAAGUGAUUUUUUUUUUUGAAACCAAAUAUGCUUUAAGAUUCGAUUUUUUUUUUUCUUGCAAAGCAAUUUUUUUUUUUUUUGAAAUAAUAAAGGGCUUAACUUUUUUUUGUUUUUUUUUUUAAAGCAAGAUUGCCUUUAAAAGAUUUUUUUUUUUUUUUUGACAAAGACGCCUAAUGGCCAAAGAUACUUCUUUUUUCACAAAGUGGCUUUACAAAAGCGAUUUUUUUUUAAAGCAAAGGAUAUUUUUUUUUCUUUUUUAAUUCUUAAAGAAGUGGUAAAUUACAGGAGCAUAAAUGAAUAUUUCUUUCUUUUUUUCUUUUAAAAGAGUAGGGUUUUUUCUUUUGUAUUUUUUUGAAAAUAAAAAAGGAUUUACAAGAUUUCUAUUUUCAUGACAAAAUACUUCAUUUUUUAAAAAAAAGAAAAAAGAAAAAAAAAAGGCCUAAAAAGAUAAUGAAUUUUUUUUUUGCCUUGGAAUUUGUAUUUGAAAAGAAAAAGUGGACCCUAAGCUUGACCUUUCUGAAAUUUUUCCCUGUUUGAAGAAAAAUGAAACGGAAUUCAAACUUGAAACGUGAAAUUUUAAGGUGCAAAAAAAAAAAAAGCAAAACAAAAAUAUCAAAAUGUAAAAAGUAGGUGAUGAAAACAUAAGCUGAGAGCUAGGUCCGCAUGAAGCAAAUUUCCAUUAGAGCAAAGCCCUUUUUUUAUUUUUUUUUAUUUUAAAAAUGAAGAAGUAUAAAAUAAAAAUAAAAAUAAAAUGGUAAUAGGAGGUGCAAAGAGGUAUAAACAGUUAGAAGAGGGCCAAACCAAAAGUGCGAGCCUUGCAUAGAUGUGGGCGACAACAAAGCCUCACGCACUGAUUCAAUCCUUGAGUUGCCUCAAUAACUGCUUUUUUGAAAACAAAGAAAAAGAAAAUAGAAAACAGUGAAAUAAAAGUUGUAUUUCGUGCUCUGAUCUAGCUCGAAAUGCCCCACAAUGGACGCCAAACUGUUUACGAUGCAAAUCAGAAUGAUCUCAAGAUGAGAUUCGACUUAAUUCAAACUACAAACUGAUUUUGUUCAAAUGAGUGAUAGAGAGUGGGACACUCAAAUUCUGAUAUGAGACCAGAGUGCACGUUAGUGUUUUUUUAUGGCCUCACAUUGGAUAACUACUAAAAACUACAAGAUUUGCUAGGUGUAGAAUGGAUAACUACUAAAACCGUUGAAUGGAUAACUACUAAUAACUACAAGAUUUGUUAGGUGUGGAUCAUAGGAUAGGACCAUAGAUUAUGUUGGACUAUGGUUUAGAGGUCUACUAUAAUAGUGUGGCUCUGUGGGUUUAGGAUAAGUAUAAAAUUUUUAAGUUUUAAAAUAGGGUGUCUACAAAACUAAAGAACAUAGAUAAAAUAAAGAAUAUAAUAAAAGAAAACAAAAAGAACAAAUCUACUAACGAAAAUAAAGAUACAAAAUAAUGUCAAAUACGAAUUAAACUAAAGAAACCAAAAAGAAAACAUGAAUACUAAUCAACUCGAUAAAAUAAUAAAGUAAGAAAAAUAAAGAUGAAAAAAAUAGAGAAAAAUGAAUAAAGAACCUUGUGAGCCCUUAAGCCCAGCACAUGGAGUUGGCCCAGAUCAGAUGGAGAGGAUGAAGUCCUUCUUCCUUGAUAUUUAAGAUUAGCGAUAUUGAAUGAUUGCACUUCAGUGAAGAGAGGCAUGCCUAAGAAUUUUGUAUCUAGGAAUUUUAAUAACUGAAAAGGACUGUUUUUUUUAUAUCUAGACUUGGCUAGAGAAGGCCCUAGAACAAGGGUUUGAGUUGCUUAAGUCUAGGGUUUGAAGGUCGUAGGUUUACAUAUCUGCGGAUUACAGUUGGGAUUACUGUUCAUAUCAAGGUUUAUUCAAAUGGCUAGAAAACUACUUUUUUAUGGGAAAAAUACACCCUAGAAUAGGGAAGGAUGUGAAAUAAAUCAGAGCGUAGAUUUGGACUGUGCUAAAGUAUGCACUGCUGGUUUUCUCUCUCACUACAUAAUGCCAUGCUUAAAUAUUCCCUUUGUUUCUUUGCAGGUUUAUUUUGGACACCAGUCUAACAGUGGUGAUUUACUCGAAAUCAAACGCUUCUUUAAGGCUGCGAUCUGCGAUUUUCUUCCUUCCUGGUUAUUAGAAACUAUGUAUUUCUAGGGUACUGGUUCUGAUCUAGGACGUUUGAGAAUAUUGACAUGCCUAUGUUCAGACUUGGGAAUAUUUGGCUUCUUAGAAUGAGUUGUUCAGAAUAUUGAGGAUAUCUAGAAUAUUUAGGGAAUAUUUG